UUCAGGCAGAGGUCGGAUCCUUGUUUCCUCCCCAUGAGGAUCAAAGUCUGCUGAGACUGAGCAAUGCUUGGAGUGAAUAUCAGAGCCUCGGCUUAUGGUGAUAGAAACUGGGGAGGUUAUGCAGCUCACCUCCAUGCAAUGUUAUUGAUUUCCAGAGUCCAAAUUGAGAGUGUGUGAAAGCCUGAAGACGGAUCGGUAAAGAAGGUAAUGUGGGCUCAGGUUCUCUCCAACAAAGAGGAAAUUUGAAAAUGUUUUUCCUUGAUGUCAGGUAAAAGAACCACAGGCUACUGAGUGGAAGUUAUUUCCCUGGGGACGAAGAUAGUGAAGGAAUGCAAGGCUCAUCAUUUCUCUUCUUUCCAGAGAGACCACAUGAGAAUGAGAUGAGCAGAUGACCAUCCCUACACAUAGGGGUGAGCUAAAAACCACCAUUACCUCUAUCACAGAAUUACAGUCACAGAGUCACAGAAUCACAGAAUGGUUGAGAUUGGAAGAGAUCUCUGGAGGUCAACACCCCUUUUUAAGCAAGACCACCUACAGAAGGUGCCCAGGACCAUGUCCAGAAGGCUUUUGAAGAUCUCCAAGGAGACUUCACAACCUCUCUGGGCAACACGUGCCAGUACUUCGUCACCUGCAUAAUAAAGAAGUGCUUCCUGAUGUUGAGACAGAACCUCCAGUGUUUCAGUUAGUGCCCAUUGCCUCUGGUCCUGGCAUCAGGCACCACUGAAAAGAAAAGAAUCUGGCUCCAUCUUCUUUGCACCUUCUCUUCAGAUAUUUGUACACAUCGAUGAGAUCUCCGCAAGACGCCUCUUUUCCAGGUUAAGAGCACUACUGCUUCUUAGGCAACUAAAAGAGUACAACAAACAACCCAGUCUUUGUGAAACCAGAAGAGCAGGUAAAAUAUUUUAAUUUUUGAAACAAAUAUAUAUGGUUUAUAAAGAAACACUGAGUGGUGACCCUUGUACUGAAGUUAGUCUUUUAUUUCCCACACCUAUGUUAUAGGAAACACUUCAGAAAUGGAAGGACAAGCAUUUCAAAGUUUGAGUUCUGUUUAAGAAGUGGUUUUGUGGACUGGGGGUGGCCUUUCUUAUUUUCAUUUUCUUCCUCUAUUGGAGAGUUAUUCAUUGUUCUCAUCUGUGAAGUCAAUUAGAAGAAUUGCUAGACAGAGGUGUUAGAAAGAUUCAUGGAAUCUCUCUCUACUACUAAGCAGGUUAAAAGCAAAUCCAGAUAAAACAUUUAAUGCUCAUUUUGGCUGAGGUUAUUUUUGAUCAGAUCUGUGUCUCUAGGACAAAAAAUGAAGUUAUAAUUUAAUAGACUUUGUCGGGAAAAAAAGACUGUUUUGGUCAAGUAUUCUGAUUUCCUACAUAGGAAUUUUACAGUGUUACCCAGCAGCUCCUACAUCAGCUUGGUUUUUCUUUCUUGGUUGGUCCAGAGCAUUUAUUUAAAAAUCAUAAUUUUAAGAUGAUGGAGAAUUAGGCUGCUGAAGUUAUAUUAGCAUCUAUACCAGAUGAAAUGUGCAGUUAAAAUAAAGAUCCCCACGCUGAAAUGGUCUGUAAAACCAGAAUGCAUUACCUACACAUAUAAUGAACUGAGCUCAUAGUCCAAGUCAUCCAACUGAAAUUACUGGGAUCACUCAUGAGGCAAAAUAGGACGAUUCAGAAGGAAUAAAAACAUCAGUGUCUAGCCCAGUGUGAAUCAUAAACUUGUUUAUAUUCAUACUUGUCUAUGCUCUCUUGUUGUAAAUACAACUUAUUAAAAGUCUCAGAGAAAAUAAAAUACAAGCAAUGGUAGAAUGAACAAACCUCUUAUUGCAAGCUCUAGCAUCAGUAUGUUUAUACUGUUACAUAGCAUUGGAGAAACUAAAAUAUGUUCAGAAAUGUUUCAAGAAAACUGUUCUUGACAAAGCAGAUUUCUAAGAGAAAGAAAAGCUUCAUAUGUAAAAAUAUUCCUUUUGUUAUUUUCCUAAGAAAAAGAUGUAUUUUACUAUGAGAUAUUUGCUUUAAGUGUAAACUAAUUACAAUAAACAAGCUAAAUUAAAUUGUUUGAAGCUACUGUAAAAUCACGGAUUAUUUUUCUUUUGUAUUCCUCCCUGUUGUUGUGAAGCAAGUAUGUUCACUUGUAUGAUAGAGUUGUUAUGUUCACCUUUGAAGCAGAGAAUUUAAAAAGUCUUAAAUUUUAGAGGCUGAUCAUGUGGGAUUUAGUCAUAUAAUCCCUCAUCUUUCAAAAGUAGAAUUGUUUCUUCUGUUAUCAGAGAACCUAUAUUCAU